GCAUUGGCUCCCGCAGCCCCCGCGGCAUACCAUGAUGGGCACCUUGGAUGCUGUGGCACAGGAGGCAUAAUCUUUCUGGCGGCGGAUGGCUUCACGGACUAUCUCUCCCAAACAUGGAUUCUCUGAAGAGGGUAGAAAGUGUGGGGCCAAGGAACCGUGGGACCAGGAGCAGGCAUGGAUCAAGAGUGGAGUCGAGGAGCUCAUGUAGCUGGAGUCAGGUAAAAACUACGGUUCCUCUUACUUUUCCCCUUAUAAGGUAAUGUCCAGCCUGGAAUUCCUCCUCAUGCAAAUGAGGCACCCGGAGCAACUUGGCCCCAACCAAUGAGGUACACUCAGCCCCCUUUAAAUAGGCCUCAUUCCUCCCAAUUAGACAAGCCUCUCCGGAGUUUGUUCUAAGUGGGGUGGUCUGCUUUAUUCUACCUAGUACCUUUAUUCUACACAUUUGAUGUGCUUCUAUUAUCCCAGGUUCCGCACAAGGCUUUAAUCAAGCCCCGAGGCUAUUCUGGUGGCGGGGGUGGGCUUAAUCCUCCAUCUUUCGAAGGAAUUGGCAAACUGGUAAAUAGCGGCCAAAUCAUGUUACUGGAUGCGUUCUGACUGGUAGAACGUGCUUAAAUGCUAACGUGGAAAACAUCUGAAUUCACUUAAGAAUUUGGAUUUCCGGCUUCUCUGAAAGUAGGAGGUCGGCCAGAGCUCAGCCUGCUUCCCCACAUUGCCAUGGUGCUAUGAGCUUUGGGUAGGACAGAAGAGUGUCAGUUUGUCCCAGACUGGCUGUACCACUCCCAGUAGCCUGUCUCCCUUGGUCUAGAGCAACGGUUCUCAACCUGUGGGUCUCAGUUCCUCUGGGUGUCGAGUGACCCUUUCACAGGGGUUGCCGACGACCAUCCGAAAACACAGAUAUUUACAUUACAGUUCCUAACUGUAGAGAAAUUAGUCAUGAAACGGCAACAAAAAUAAUUUUAUGGCUAGGGGUCAGCACAACAUGAGGAGCUGUAUUAAAGGGUGGCAGCAUUGGGAAGGUUGAGAACCACUGGUCUGGACACUAGUGUUAGAAGAGCACACGUAAGUAAGGGUCCCGGAGGCUUUCGGUGAAGUGACUAUAGAGAGGAAAUCUAGAAAAGAUGCUAAGGAGGUAAAGGCCCUUCUGGAUGAUUUUGGAAGUUCUAGAAACAACCGGAGAUCAGUAAAGAGGGGCUCUGUGUGUGCUGGAAUGUUCACCUUUGACCCCGCUUUUCACCUCCAGCCUCCACCCCCUCCCAGCCCUGCCAGGACCUUUGGAACAGGCACUGCGGGAGGAAAGCAGAGUCCGAAGCCUCACGGUGGUGGAAAAAUUACUUGUUAUCCCGUGCCUCAGUUUCCCUGCCUGGAAAAUCCUAGCCCACGUGUAACUCCUCACUGAUUCACGGCCUCUGCUGAGCAGCAGAGGCAACUGAGGAGGAAAAGCAUCUGAGCUUUGUAAAGGGGUUGUGUGUUUUACUAAGACGCACGGGCACCGUAUCCCAGCUGCAAACAAUCCUUUAAAACAAUGGGUUUAGAAGGAUUCAGAGUCCAGUGUGUGUGGUGUGCAUGUGUGUGCAAUGCAGAGGCACAGUCCAGGCUUCUGUGGUGUGUCAAGAACCUCCUGCCUACUUCUGCCCGUGAAGAGCAAUCUCUCUUAGCUCCGAGUCAGUGCCAAUCAAGGAGAAGGGGUAGCAUGAAGGUGCUCCUUUCUCUCUGUAUGUUGCCACCCGGGGGUCUGCAGUCCAUAGGCACCCCCAACCCCUUGCUGUACCUAAGUGUUUUCCAGCAGACAGGACGGUAAGAAUGUACUUGGCAUUUCUUUUCUGGCCGCUUUGCUCGAGCUGGGUACUCGAGGAAGCUUAUAGCCUUCAGGGAUGUCACCCUAGAAUCUUGAUGCUGAAUCCUCACCCACCACGACGUUACUCAGUCUCUACCAUAAGCCAGUGCAGUUGUUUUAGGCGAGGAAUUACGACCCAGAGAGAACUGCCCUGCUCAAGGACACACAGAUUUUUCUUUUCAGGACAACAGUGUUGCUUCUGACUUUUACAGGUCCUAGUUUGGGGCCGCAGAGAUGGCUCAGCAGAUCAUACUUCACAAGAGGGUUUCUUGCUUGUCAUGGUUUGAAUAUGCCCGGCCCAGGGAGUGACAUUCUUUGGGGGUGUGGCCUUGGUAGAAUAGGUGUGUCAUUGUGGGUGUGGGCUCUAAGACCCUCAUCCUAGCUGCCUGGAAACCAGUGUUCUGCCAGCAGCCUUCAGAUGAAGAUGUAGAACUCUCAGCUCCUCCUGCACCAUGCCUGCCUGAAUGCUGCCAUGUUCCUGCCUCGAUGAUACUGGACUGAACCUCUGAAGCUGUAAGCCAGCCCCAGUUAAAUGUUGUCCUCAUAAGAGUUGCCUUGGUCGUGGUGUCUGUUCACAGCUAAUAAAACCCUCACUAACGCAGUGCCCUUCUAGAAGACCCUAGAACACAAGUUCAGUUCCCAGCACCCAGGCAGCACACGAUCACCUCCAACUCCAGUUCUAGGCCAUCUGGUGCCCUCUUCUGGCCUCCAUGGGCACUGCACUCUCACACUGCUCCCCAACUCUUAGCACAUCCCUAGGUACCCCAUACUCACCGUAGCACAUAUUCUACCAAGAAACCCUGAAGGGUAGCCUGGUAGCCAGCCAGUGUCCACAUGACCCCAUUACCCCAUCUUCUGCCACAUCCUCCAUGUAGUAGCCUCUCUCAGCGAAUGCACUGCACCAAGGUAACUGAUACAUUGACCUAGACAUGGCAGUGCAAGCCACUUCUCUGCCUAGGUCAUUCGAGACCAUGCACGGCUCCCUCUUCGCUAUCUGAUGGUUCCCUCUAGGAAGAUCAGGUACUCUUUGACCCCCUGCCUCUUUCCUCUGCCCUCUGUCCUACAAGGACAGCAGACUCACCUUGCUCACAGUGAUUGCCACUGAAGCCAGGCUGGCACAGGCAAUAGGGCUCCCCUCGAUCUGAGAUGUGGCACUGCCCGUGGUGGCACUUGAAGGCUGAGCAGGCAUUGGCAGAGUCAUUCUUCUGGUCACACAAAGGUCCCUCAUAGCCCUCGGCACACUUGCACACAUAUGAGUUGCCAGUCGCCACGCAUGUCCCAUGGCUGCAGCUGUGGGUAGAGGGGAGGAGACCAGAGUCAGUACCUUCCUCUGUCCCUGCAUUGGGUCCAGCAUCUAAGUGUCUCCUUUCAUGUAAACCCCAUGCUGGUGGCCAUGUAGCCGCAUGCCAUUGUGCCCUAGUGAACGCCCACUGCCAGCUCUGACCAUGGCAGAUACCAAUCUGCUGUUUCCUCCAGAGACGCGAGAGUCUUCAGUGCCAAUUCACAGCCCAGCAGUCUUUUAACUUUCUGUCAACAUUAAAAGUAACUAUUUUUGUGUUUUUUAAAACAGGAUCUCACUCUGAGGCUUCGGCUGGCUUGGAACUCACUUCGUAGGACAAGCUGGCCUCGAACUCACAGAGACCUGUCUGUUUCUACCUCCCAAGUGCUGGGAUGAAGGGCUUGCACCACCACAUCUGGCAAAAAUAAUUUUUAAAUAUUGCAUUUUAUUAGGGGUGUGUGUGUGUGUGUGUGUGUGUGUGUGUGUGUGUGCGAGUGUGUGUGUGUACAAAAGUGUACAUGUGGGUGCACAUGUGGAGGUCAGAGGACGACUUGUUACAUGGCUCUCUCCUCCUACCAUGUGGGCCCUGAGGGAUUGAACUCAGGUUUCAGGCUUAGCAGCAAGCUCCUCUACCCACUGAGCCAUCCUGCUGGUCUUUGUAAACAUUUUAACUCUCCUGCAAUUUAAAUAACAAACACUAUGACUACUAUUACUACGACUAGUACAACCACUAUAGGUUGGACAACGCUCACCCAGAAUGGCCCCAAAUCCUAACAUUUUAAACGUCAGCAUGGGUUCCAGUGAAACUUUCUACACCUGACCUCCAACGAUGAGCUGCUGAUAAGACACAGAUGCACUGAACAGAUCACAUGGGAUUAUUAUCAGGCCGAGCGCCUAUGUGAGUGUGUGCACGCACGCGUGCAUGUUCACAUGCGUGUGGUGUCUAUGUAUGAAAUAUGAAUGAACUGUGUGUAUAUGCUUCAUUCUUACCUCCCCAGUGUCUCAGAGGAACAGGUAUAUACUCAGAUGGGAAGCAUUUCUAGUGUCAGGCAUUUUGGACCAGAGACAUGUCAUAGCCCGUUCUCGGCAGACAGCACAUGCUGUGUGUUAAGCACAUCAGAUCUUGUACCACUCCACUCCAAGACAGCCCCUCCCAUGAACUAGCCUUCUGUCCAUCUCCCAGAGCAAAGUCCACAUUUUGUAGAACAAAAAAAUAAUUUAGAAUUAUUGUCUGUGUAGGAGGGUUUUGCCUGCACAUAUCUAUGUGCACCAGGUGCCUGGUGCCUGCAGACACCAUAAGAGGGCAUUGUGUCCUCUGGAACUAUGGUUACAGAUGGUUGUGAGUCACCAUGAGGGAGCUGGGGACUGUAAGGGCAACGGUGCUCUUAACUACUGAGACAUCUUUCUUCUUUUUCUUCAAAACAAUUGAAAAAAGUUUGUGUUUUUAUGGAUGUAGGUAUUUUGCGUGCAUGCAUAUGUGUGCACCAUGUGUGUGCCUGUGUCCACAGAGGCUAGAAAACAGUGUUGGAUCCCCUGGGACUGGAGUUGCAGAUGCUUGUGAGCCGUCAUGGAGGUCCUCUGGAAGAACAGACUGUGCUCUUAACAAUGGAGCCAUCUCUAUAGCUCCCAGCUCUUUCGCUUAAAAAUAUUACUCUUAUGUAUUUAUCCUCCUGUUUAUUUCUGUGUGUGCAUACGUAUGGUUGUGGAGGUCAGGGGACCACCUGUGUGAGUUGGUUCUUGCCUUCUGUUGUGUGGGUCCUAGCGGUUGAACUCAGGUCAUCGGGCUGUGAGGCCUUCGCCUGCUAAGCCGUCUCUCUAGGCUGCAAAGCCAGAAAUUUCAAUCAUGAUAUAUCCCUGAGCCUACUGGGGUGACAUUCAAGCCAGGGUUCAUGUUAAUUCCAGCGCCAGGCGCAUACAUCAAGAGUAACAGGGAGUUUAAAUGUCUACAGCAUUCCUUCCUUCCUGAUCAGGACUGUUUUCCCCUGACUAGUAGUUCAGGCACCCAAAUUACCAGUCUUGAGUCUGGUGUUACUUUUAGCCGACUGCAAUUUCCAGGAAUACUUGUAGUUAGACCCUGCACACAGUAGGCCUUCAAUAAACGCUUGCUGAUUGAGUAAUGGAUGACUGAACCGUUAAAUGUGAUUCCGAUGUGCAUUGUUGUGUGGACCUAGUACACGGGGGCUGGCAUUCCUGUCUUCUGCUUUUGCUUUGCUGUGUUUGGGGUUUCUAUUUCCCUUAAGACAGCUUUUUCUAAUCACUGCAGAGUCUGGCAGUGGUUUUCACUGGUCCUCAUGGCUGCCUGGUGAAGAUAUUUCAAGAAAGCUCUCCUCACACUCUUUCAAGCCAGGCAUGCUGCCUGGAUGUAGGAGCCCGUUUCUUGGUAUUUUAAGCAUUCAUGCUAUCCAUAGUAGGACCACAACCCUCCCCAGCAACCAUCAGUUGCUACUUCCUUAGAUGCAGGCAGAGCAACUAAGUCCUUGUGCUCAGGACUCACCUGUGACCAAGGCAGGGGUCCUGGGCUUCCUGAUCACACAGUGGACCAGUCCAUCCCGGAUGGCACUCACACACUACGCUGUCCUUCUCCACGGAGCGACACAGGCCGUGACGACACACAGUGCAGGAUUUGCAGCCGGGAGAGACCCCCAGGGACUGGGGUGGGAGGGCUUUGAAAUCCUGCAACUCGUUGUUGAUGCGCACUUCGUGUAUACAGCCGUGGAAGCCGCCCAGCGGCCUGUCUGCACCCUGGCGUAAGGCUGAGAGGCCUGUAGACGUGGGGAUGCCUGAGGGAGGAAGGCGGGGCAGCCUGAAGACACGUCCUUGUCCCAUCUCCACCCCCUCAGUCUUCAAAGAGAGAACAUACACAGCACCUGUCUACAGCCACCAUUCAGAGCUCUGGGCCUCUGCUGUUCAAACAGAGUUAACAGGCCAAGGCCUCGCUCGGCCUUAUCCUCACAGCGACACGUCCUUGCUUUGGAACUGUUAAAACUCAACUUAUCACCAGUUUCUAAAUUCAGAAAAAAAAAAUCUGCAGAAGUCUGUAUUUUAAGGAGAAGUGAGAAGAACUGUCAUCUAUUGUCACACAGUCCCCCUGGCUUAACUGAGGCCCACCCCUUAGGCAUGGUGUGGCCCGGUGACCACUGGAUCACCCCGCUAUCCCUGUCCCCAACAGCAUGAGGCGCUCCUUGCCCUAGUUCCUGUUUGAAAAAUCCACAUCAGAGGAGCUGCAGUUUGGGAAUGAGGAUAAGGUUAGGGGAGCAGCUUGCUCCAGUGAAGCUCUGGGGUUCAAGGUUUCCACAUUAUUUACUGCAGAGCCUCUGCGCUACACUGAUGUCUUUCUCAGGGCUGUUUGCUGACUCCUGGUAAAGGCCUGAUCUUGUUUUCAGGGACGUCAGCUCUGUGUUCUCUCCUUUUACUGUUGGACAGACAGCAUAAUUGUGUGUGUGUUUAGUGUACAUACAGCCCUGGGUUCAAUCACCAACAACCACAUACACGGGGCAUGGGGGCACAUGCUUGUAAUCCCAGCACUCAGCAGGCAGAGCGGGAGGAUUAAAAGCUCACGGGUAUCCCUGGCUAUUGAUGAAGCCUGAGACCCCACUGUGCUGUAUGAGAUGCCAUUUAAAAAAAAAAAAAUCUUGGGCUGGGGAGAUGGCUCAGUGGUUAAGAGCACUGACUGCUCCUUCAGAGGUCCUGGGUUCAAUUCCCAGCAACCACAUGGUGGUUCACAGCCAUCUGUAAUGGAAUCCGAUGCCCUCUUCUUUAAAAUCUUAAAAAAAAAAACUUAACUUUCCAUUCUUCCUUUCCUGAAACUUCCAGGCCUCAUGAUGGCUGGAAAAAGUGCCCAGUUUUGUCCUGGCCACAGGCGGGGCAGGUACAGGGAGGGGAGCAACCCUCUUCCUUGUGGAGAAGCUGUGUCCUAAGGUGAGUCUGGGCCAGGAGCACUCUGUCCCCGGCCUCUGGACAGCCUGUCCGAAGUGCAAACCCCUGAGUCCGUGCCAGCCCUUGGCUGGGGACACCUGGGCUGAAGUCUUAGGAAUCUGUAUUGAACAAACUGCUUUGGUGGCUGAGUACGAACAACACGUGUCUCUGGGGAAAGAAUCCUGGCUGCUGUUUGCUCCCACUAGAGAAGGGCUCUACCACGGAGUUCCAACCGGAAGUGCCCUCCAUCCCUACCCCUGCACUCCAACAUUCUUUUUUGUUUCUUUUUCGCAUAUAAUUUAAGACUCAUCAGCCUAGGGGCUUCAUUUCAGGUCUAGGCAGCUUGUGUGGUUUCUUGUUUUGCCCUUUUUACAACCUUGACCUCAGUGUGUUGCUUCUUGCCAUAUCUAAGACAUAGAGCAGAGGGGCACCGCCCUGGAGGCUUGCAAACUGCAACUGAGCCUGGAUACCCUUCUUUCUAUUUCCUUCUUGCUUCUCUUCGCCUCCCUGCCCACUGGCUAGUCCACCCUUUUUCUUUCACGAGCAUCUGUCCAGAGUCUGUUCAGCAAUCGAUUUUGUUGUCACUUCCUCCUGGAAGCCUCCCCUGAUUGGCUUUGGUGCCAAAAAGACAUCAGGGAGACCCCGGCGUCAGGUCUGGGUGUCCGUGCAGAUGCAGAAAGCCAGAAAGGCAGAGAGGGUAGGAUUAGGUGGUGACAAGGGAAAACGUUACCUCCAAGAUAGAGGGGACUGUUGAUGCCCACUGCUGGCUGCUUCUGGAGCUUCCCCAGGCUCUUGGGGGCUCCUUUGUCUACCACCAGGUUCAGGGUCUGGUUUAGCAUCACCAGCUCCACACUGUGAAACUGGCCAUCAUUCACCGUCUCCACACUGGACAGGAGAGAAAGGAAAAGAGUCAGAGGUCAAGUGCACUCCAUGGCCAGGCACCGGGCUGCAGUUGGUUUUUGCGAGGCUUGCGUCCUGCUUUACGUUCAUUUGGAAACAACUGCGAAUUACAGAAGUUGCGAAAAUAAGAACAGAAAGUACGCCGUACUGCCCACGCUCUUCUCUCCGACUGCUUCCAGUUUCUAUGAGUGAUGUGAGGAUAAAGUAUGGAUGUCAUGACCCUUGACCUCUGUCGGGAUAAAGUACGCAUGUCAUGACCCUUGACCUCUGUAAGGAUAAGGUAUGCACAUCAUGGCCUUUGGAUCCCUCAGCUGUGUCUCCCAAGGACUGGGCUGUUCUCUCACAUAAGUAGUGUGCUGACUGAACAGGGAGCAGCUAACGUUCAUUCCAACCCUUUAUUUGUACGGAUGUGCAGUGGCCCCAGCCACGGCCCUUGCAGCAGGUUUCUGUUCCCACCACAGAGUCCUUGCAGGGCCGCCGCAGCAGCUGCUGCUCAGUUCUUGCCCUGUUUUUUUUUUGUUUUUUGUUUUUUUUUCCAGAGUAGGCAAGCGAUCCUUAGCCCAAUGAUCUCAGGCUGGCUCUGCCCGCACACCAUCCGGACACCUGCUCUCGGAAGAUGCUGUCCCUUCAAACACCGUAUGUCCUUUGUCAACCUCGCUGAAGAGUUAGCCUUGUCCUAAGGUACGUCUGGGAGAAAACAUUCCAGUAUGAUGUGAUUUUUUUUUCCCCCUAGCAUGUAUGAAACAGACACUGUCUCAGUUAAGAUGUCAGUAAUUUGUCCUUGUUCCUGAAUCCUCUGUAUAAACCACCCCUUCUGAUCAGGCCACAUCUGAGGAAAGAGGGUCUCGUGCUCCAAGCGAGUCUAAUCCUUAUCCCAGAACUUGGCAGCUCAGGGAGACAGGGCUGUUCACUCCCUUCCCCAUGCUAUUCUGCGACAGAGCAGGACUUAUCUGGGCCAUGUAUAGGGCCAACACACUCACUUACAUUAUUUCAUAUUUCUACGAUUGGGUACCAGAUAACCCGCUUUAUAGAUAAAAAUACUGAGGCCCAGAGAAGUUACCGGAUUUGUCUGGGGUCACCCAGUUGAUACAGGCCAGAGAUAGGGUUUACAGGCAAGACUUUUGAUUGCCAAGUUCUGUUUUUCCCAGGACACUGUUGGUUGCAGGGUUUGGGAGGGAACUGUGGUUGGUUACAGGACUUUGGGGACGUGAAGAAAGGGGCUCACUGGGGAGUCUGUAGAUCUGUCUCAUUGGUUCAGGUGUGGGUGGCAGACAGGAGAGUCUCUCCCUCAUCUUGAAGUCUCCCUGGGAUUCCCACCGAUUUUCCAGGUAGCAGGGAAAGCUUGAAUGGCUGUGGAACUUCUGAAGACCAGAGGGAAAUGGUAGAUACUGAACAGGUCGGUGAGUGGAACAGAAAUGGAGGCCGCUCCCCAUGCUCUCACUGAUGGGCAGGACAAUGGCCAAUCACAGAAUCCCUGUCUCUGUGUCUUCCACAAGGGGGAGGGUCACCUGCCAGAGUUACUGGGUGAUCAAGUUAUUGGUGAUAUUUGUACUAUUUUGAGGAGCUACGGAAGAGAGCUGGGUCAGUGAAGUGCUAGUCUUGAAAGCUCCGUGUUAGAUCCCCAGAACCCACAGGAAAAGCCAAGGGCAGCACUGCACAUUAGCAAUCCUAGCCCGUCAGUCUGUCCCAGGCCAGUGAGGUACUAUGUCUCCAAAGAAGAUGGACAGCACCAGAGGAACCAUGUCUGAGGCUGUCCUCUGGCCUCCAUGUGUCCGGGCAAACAUACAGAGAACAGUGACAAUAAGAACCCACCCCAGCCUGCACCCCGGUGAUCCUUACUAUAGCUUUGAUGCUGAGAGAAAGCAAUGGAGAGGAGCCUGGGAUCCCCACAAGUCCUCCAAAAUAAAACGUAGCCAUUUGUCAGCUCAUAAUCUGUCCUCCCCACCCUCCCUUCCUCUUUCCCUCCCUCCUACUCAUGGACCUGUCCACUCUUACUCCUUCCUCUCUAUCUACCCACACAUCCUGACUGUCCAUCCACACAUCCUGUCUAUCUAUCCACACAUCCUGUUUCCUCCAUCCACUCAUCCAGUCUGUCCAUCCGUCUACCACGCUUUCACCGAGGGCUCAGCCUUUCUGUCUUAGGUGCUGGGGGACCAGUAACAAAUCACAAAGCCCACACUCCACCACGUUUCUAAAUCAAACAGCCGACUUUUGAGCAUAAGGUCCAGCCAAGAAGCAGGAAAAUGAAGGUGGGGCAGGAGCCGAGAGACACUGGGGGAUCUGGUGCAGGGAUGGGGCGCUGAGCAGUGGAGAAGCUGUGUGAAUGGAUCAGCGGCAUCUCAACUGCCCUGAGUCACAGCAGGCAGAGGCUGUCCUCUUGCAGACAAGUUGAUUAGUAUAACGGUUAGAGAAAGAGGGCCAAGCCCUCGCUUAGUUUUCUAACCAUGUGCAAAAACUUCUAGCUGUGUCCCUGACCACCCCAGAGCUGCCGCUGUCCUGGUAAUUGAGCUCCCGGGACCCAUAACUGAAAGGAAGGAUGGGCUAUUUGGGAACUCAGUUUCAAAGGUUGCAUUCCAGAGCUGAUUUAGGCCAGUCUUUGAAAGAGUCCUGUUUACUUCUUGGUGGCCAGGAAGCAAGAAGGAAGGGACUAGGUCCCAAGGUCCCAAUGUUCCCUGUAAGGGCACAGCCACCCAGUGACCUCAGUUCCUCUUCCAAUGUGCCACUUCCUUGGUGUGCCUCUUGCUUAGGUAAGCAUUAGGCAACUUCCCUAUCAGAGGCAGCUGUGAAGCCAGGGUUAUGUGUGUGGCCUUCUUUCUUCCCUUCCAGAACCAAGUAAGGGUCAAGGUAGUCGGGGCAGUGAUUUUCCUGUUUUGGAUAUACUCAGGCACAGCGAGCAACCCCAUUAGCUCCUUCCUGGCUGUGCACCAGGCUGGGUCCAGUGCUUACAGCAGCUACAGAGGGCUGCAGUUACAACACUCUGCCUCAGGGAGGGUUAGGUUCCCCUGGCUCCAAGGACAGCUUUGUCUGCCUGUCUCACCCACCGUUAAAACAAAAGUCGUAAGGACCAGAGAGAUGGCUUGGUGGUGGCUGUGUAGCAGUUAACCCCUGAGGUUGGAUCCUAGAAUCCUCAUAAAGCCAGACACUGUAGAUACACAGUGUAUCUAUAAUCUCGGAGUUUCAGGGAGAUGGGGGGUGGAGACGGGAGAGCCCUCAGAAGGUCACAGGUCAGCCAGCCUGUCAUACACAGGAAUAAACAAGAGAGCCAGCAUCAAACGAAGUGGCUGGGAAGACUCCCUGACCUCCACAUUGCAUGCCCUGGUGUGUACAUGCCUGCACUCACGAUCGCAGACACACACAAAGAUUUCUGUCAGGGUUGUAAAUACCGGUCUUCCAAAUCAAAAUACCAGUGGGAAAACAGCCAUACCGCUAACAAUAACAACAACAACAACAAAGAUGGUAAAAGUAAAAACCAAACAUAACCCUUCCGUUUGCUCUAAGAGAAUUGACCUUGCUGAAUUGCCAAGCGCAGGUGGUCUUUUGAGGAGAUCAUUAGGGAUUUCAGGGGAGGUGACGGGCCUGAGAGUCUUCAUGAUUGUUCCCCGGGGCCCAGAGAGUAGCAGUGGCACUGCAUUAGCCAGGUUGGAGGGCUACUGCCUAGAGCUGCUGUGGCCACAGCCAUUGCCAGAGGAGCCUACGGUGCUCUUCUGUGUUUAAGGACGUAGCUAUUGUCUGUGUAUGCGUGAGUGCCUGCACGUGUGUGUAUGUAUGUAUGUAUGUAUGUAUGUAUGUAUGUAUGUAUGUAUGUAUGUGCACCGCUUGCCUGUCUGGUGCUUCCUGAAGCUAGAAGAGAUGUUGGAUCUCCUAGCACUAGGGUUACAGUGAGCUGUAUGAUAGCUUCUGGGAGCCGAAAGCAUCUUCUACAAGAGCAGGAAAUGCUUUUUUCUUUCUCUUUUCCUAGUGGCAAUGGGCGGUUUGUGGGGUAAGGACAGGGGCUGAAAUAUCGUCAUUUAACCCUAACAAGCCCACAGGCAGGAGGCACAUCUUUCCUCGUUUGGAAACAAGAGACUUACUGCCCAGAGAAUUAGAGGGCCUCACGAAGAAGAGCUGGGAUUUAAGCUCAUGUCUCCCAGCUCUGGGACUGUAGGACCGUACAAGAAAGAUUAUCAUGUGGUCACUUCUCCUGAUGCCAAGAGUGACCAAUAGGUGGCGACAGAGCCCCGCAGCCACAAACAGCUCCUGUGAUUUCUUUGGGCAAGCAACCUGGGCCCAGGAACCCCAACUGACUUCUGCACCUAGUACCACAGCUUGCAGCCACACACUGGGAGGGUUGGGUUUAGUGGAAACCUGACCUGUGUCUUCCCAUCCUGGGAUUCCUCUGAGCAGUCAGGCUUCUCAGCCCUCAAAUAGGAAUGAGGAUGUUCGAUCCUUCAUGUGCUAAGGAUCCAAUGGGGCCAAGACCUUAGCAGCGAUGGUGGCAAUCUGAACUAUCAGGGUAUGCACCUCGCUGGGUAGAGCUGACUAGUGUAUGGAGUUCUGAUCAGACCUUAAAACCUUAAAAAACCUAAGACAUGGUCCCCCCAAACCCUGUUUUCCCAGUUUUUCUUCAUAAUCUACCUCGAAGCAACACCCACUGGAGUUCUGGUUAGCUGCCCUUUCCACAGGCCCCUGGCCCUGUGGGCAGAGGAGUCUCAUGGUAAGUCUCCACACUGAAGGCCUAUCCUAUCCUGGGGCAGGAGAGACCUAGCUGGGCUUGGUGUGUCUGCCCUGUAGCCGACAGCAGAACCUUGACAUGCUUCCUCACUUCUUAUGACUAGUGGGGGCCUGAGCAGAAUCAAUGGGCAGAGGGAGGCCCUAGCAUCCAGCUUCUCUGGAAGGAUAAAACCUGCAGGGGCCCUGGCAGCUCACUCUUUCAUGGGGAUAGCUCAUGGGGUCUCAGGGGACAGAAAUCUGUAGGCUGCCAACUCCCCCGAUGGUUUGGUUUGGCAGCUUGGCUUUCAUUUGAAGCUGACGAGGCCUUUCAGGUGGCGAAAAGUCAUUGCAGUGACUCUGAGGAAUGGCCUUCUGUCCCUUCAGCUGCUGUUAGCUGAGAGUACAAGUCAUGAAUUACAGCCUCUCCCAGCAUGGCAUUCACAGAGGGCCUCUGUUGUGGCAUCUCCUGGCCCUGCCGUGUGGGAACGCCCUUCCUUAUCUUCCAAGCAGGGACAUUUACUCCUUGUUUGGAAGUGUCUCCACAGCAGGUUGGAGAGCCUCCAGGGAGGCCUGUUAGAUUCUGCCACUGUCUGUCAACAUGUAUGUUUCUGUGUGUGGGAUGCUUAACGUCAUGUCGAGUGAGGGGGUUGCAGGUAGAGGGAGAGGAGGAGAAAGAGGACUGAGGUGGAGGAGAACAGAGGUGGAGGAGAACUGAGGUGAGGUCGCCAUGAAGGGAGAUGGAUCAUGGGCAAUGUGUCCAGGAGAAACAGCAAGUAACAAGGGAACUUCAUAGCCAGAGAAUAAGUUAGCAUAGCUGUCAAUCUAGGCUUAUGGCUUAUAAAUAAAAUAUCUGGAUGGUGUGUCUUUUAUACAGGCAAGCUAGAAUUAUAAAUUCAACUUACAGAGUGAGGUCCAGGAUGCCUAGGGCUACAGAGAAACCCUGCCAGUGAGGACUAAACACACACACACCACUAUACACACACACAUACACAUAUACACAUGCACAUAUGCACCACACCACAUACAUACACACACACCAUACACACAACCACACACAUGCACACAUACACCACACCCCCCCACACAACACACACACACAUGCACACACACACACACACACCACACUAUACAUACACAACACACACACAUACACACACACCACACUAUACACACACCACAUCACACAUGCACACAUACACCACACUCACACACACCCCCCACACACCCCCACAUACACAUAUAUAGACACACCACACACACAUAUACCACACACACAUACACACCACACACACACACACACACACACCCCCACACACACCAUACACCACACACGCACACGCACACCAUACACUCUAAAACUGCCUUUACAUGAUGUGAAUGACAUACAUGAACUGUCCCACAAAAUCACUUUUAGUGCGGGAUUUCUGGAGCCUGGGGCCCCUUAUGGUUAUGUGCAGAAGGGCAGCAAUGUUCUGCAGCAAGGUUUGGCAUGUGAAUCUGAGUCAUCUGCCCAGAUGCCCAUCACUUGCUUCUUUCCAAGGUCAUGCCACCUCCCUAGUGGACUCAACACAUUCAUACAACUCCCUGGUGGUAGCUCUAGGAGGUAGCAAUGGUUUCCCCAACUCAGCAUAGUGUUUCCAGAGGCCCCUCGCUCUGCACAGAGCUCAGCUGCUUCUGGAAACCCACCUCUCAUCCAUCCAUCCAUCCUGGAAUGUCUACAUCAUGGCUCAUUUGCUAAGUACUGUUCCAUCCACACUAACCAGCACCCUAGGAAAUGCCCAUCAGUGCCACAGGAAGGAAGCGGGGAGGGAGAGGAAGACACUCCUUUAACACUCCAAGUGACAGGAGGGCUUUCUCUCAGGCAGAUGGUUUAUCAGGCAGCUGCUGGGCCUGCCUCCCUGCUCUCCAUUCUUCCCACCUGGUUCAAGGUCAGCAGUUUCAGAAGCAAAGAUGAUAGGAGACCCAGUGUCUGCUCUGUCUUACUGUCUGAGGCUGGCCUUGUUUCUCCCCACCUUCUUCCAGGAGCCUUCCGCUCUGGUUGGUGCUUGUCUUUGCAGCAGUCCUGACACAGCCGCCUUCGAGUUCUCUCUGCACAUGUGAGUUUCUCCCUUCAAGAUCCAACUCUCAUACAUUAACCCCCGCUUCUGAAAUUUACGCACCAAGCACCUUUAAUCCUAGUACUCCAGUGGUGGAGGCAGAUAGACCUCUGGGUGUUCGGGGCUAGCCUGGUCUAUAUAGUGAGUUUCAGACCAGCUGGGGCUACACAGGAGGGAGGGUCUUAUCUCAAUUUUUUUCUUUUUUUUUUUUUUUAAAUGCAUGAGGGUCACCUGAAGGAUUCCUUAAAUACAGAUUUGCUGUCUGGUAGCUUCAGAUUGAUUACUUCUGGGGUAAGGACUGAAAAAAAAUGUGUAUUUUUGUAUUUUUGCCAUACUCUGCUCUCAGAACCACUGAUUACUCCUUCCCUUGCUUCCCUUCCCCCACCCUCUGUGUGUGUAUUUCUGCGAUAUGAAGACUGGAUUCAGGGACUGCAUGCACGUUAGAUAAACACCCUUCUAUUGAACUAUGCCCUCCAGCUCUAACUGCUGUUUAUUUAGUUUUUUUAUUAAUUUUAUUUUUAUUUUAUUUAUAUGAGUACACUGUUACUGUCUUCAGACACACCAGAAGAGGGCAUCAGAUCCCAUUACAGAUGGUUGUGAGCCACCAUGUGGUUGCUGGGAUUUGAACUCAGGACCUCUGGAAGAGCAGUCAGUGCUCUUAACCACUGAGCCAUCUCUCCAGCCCUAUUUAGUUCUUUUGAAGCAGGGUAGCCCUUGGUGUUCUGGAAUUCAUAGAGAUCCACACACACACACUUCUCAGCCUGCAGAGCACUAGAAUUAAAGGCCUUUGCUACCAUCAUCAUCUCAUACCACUGGCUUUAACCGAGGGUUUUUAGACUGGGUUUGCUAGAGGAGAAUCAGAGGCCUGGGCCUCCCAACUCUGCAGGGCAGUUCUACCUCAUUUUCGAUGAGGACAGUCUAAAUGCUGGAAACUUGUGCGCAUCAUAAGGUUUCUGACUCUGGAGCGUUAUCUCGGAUGAGGGGUGCUCACCCUCCCCUUUAGUGAGCAUCAGGGAACAUUUGGAGUGGAUGAGCCUGUCUGUGUGAGGUGGCACUCAGGCCAGGCUGGAGAGGGUGAGUAGGUUCCGUGUUGGCUUACAGUGGCACACGAGGGAGCAGCAGUCAUGUCAAGUCACAUGCAGUCUGCUGUCUAAGGGGUCCCCUAAAAGCUUGUGUAUGGAAGGCUUGGUCCAGAGCCCACGGUGCUGCUGGAAGGUGGUGGAACCUUCGGGAAGUAGGUUCUACGUGGGAAGUCCUCUGCUCACCGAGGGGCAUAGGCUGAAGGGACUGAAGAGACCCCAGGCUCCUCUUCUCUCUUUGCUUUUCAGUUACCGUGAAGUGAGCAGCUUGCUCUAACACAACACUCCCCACCAUGACGAGAAAGUCAAAGUGACGAAGCCAAAUGACCACGGACUGAGAUCUCUAGAACUGCGAGCCAAGAGAAACCUUCCCUCUUUAUAAGCUGAUCCCCUCUGGUAUUUUGUUACGGCUCUAGCAUGCUGUCCAACCUACAGGGGUGAUUUAAAAAGACUUAGGAAUCACUGUCUUUCAGAACAGUUUGAAAGUCAUUUAAGCAUAGUCCUGUUCCCUGGGUGCUCUUGAAUUUCCUCUCCUUGAAUUGCAUGCUAAUCGCCCGGCUUUCUUUCUUAAACUAAUAAAAGAUUAGGAUGACAUUUUGAAAAGGGCACCUCAUUAAGCAGCCUCAUCUCCAUCGGAGCACCUGGCUCCAUGCACAGUAGCCAGCUGGCCAUUUAUCUUAUGGUAAUGAGGUGUCAUCUCCCACAUGGGCCUGCCUUGCUUUCCCACUUCUGCCUCCACUGGCACCUUUCUCCUCCCCACCUGCCACUGUGUGAGAGCUGUGUCUGUGUGGGACAGGAGGCCUCGGAGUCACCUGGUGUCUGCUCCGUAGGAACAGAUUCUGUGGCUGAGAGGAGAGGUCUUUACCUGUACACCGUGGUCGGAGGGGAGCUCAGGCUGUCAUACACCAGCCUCACGUGACCCUGGUACAGCUCCAGUGCCAGGGGGUCGUUGUCUCCCUUGUAAAGAAGGAUGCCGUUGUCCUUGUCAGUGGCCACCUGGGGAGAGCCAUCAGGGUGUGUGGGUUAGCACUUACCCACGCUCCACCCUCACCUGACCCACUCCUAGCACCCUCUUCAGGUGGCUGCCUCAGAGCCUAGACCAGAUUAGAAUUCAAAUCCACAUCUCUUUCCCCAUCUGGCUGUUCUAGUUCAGAAGGCAAGACUCAAGUUUAUGCUCCAGCAAAUACUAGCUGAGCAAAUUGUUCCGACAAAUAUGCAUUGAACAUGUACUAUGUGCUGUGACAUCAGGGUCACUGACCCCUGGAGGAUGCUCAAGUCCCUUACAUAGAAUAGUAUCUGCAUUAAAUCCCUGCAAGCUCCCAUGUUCUUUAUUACCUCUGGUUGAAUGAUGAUACCCAGGACAGGAAAAAUGCUAUGGAAAUAGCUGUCCUGCACAUGUAGCAGUUACCGGCAUGCUCAACCGUUCGAGACUGUGACGUAACCGUGUCACUAACAAAUUCAUACUGGGGGACUGUGCAAUCAGCUUAUAAAAAAUUCACAAAUAAAAACAUCUCACAUUUUAA